UACAGGGGGUGCAAACGUUGCUCGGAAUCAUUGGGCGUAAAGCGCACGUAGGCGGUUCGUUAUGUCGGAUGUGAAAGCCCUUGGCUUAACCGAGGAAGUGCAUCCGAAACUGGCGAGCUAGAGUACUAAAGAGGAUCGCGGAAUUCCCGGUGUAGAGGUGAAAUUCGUAGAUAUCGGGAGGAACACCCGUGGCGAAGGCGGCUCUCUGGAUCGCAACUGACGCUGAGACGCGAAAGCGUGGGGAGCAAACAGG
rnacentral:rRNA from 1 species